rnacentral:rRNA from 1 species
CGGACGGGUGAGUAAUACAUAGGAAUCUACCCAGUAGCGGGGGACAACUUGGGGAAACUCAAGCUAAUACCGCAUACGCCCCACGGGGGAAAGCAGGGGAUCUUCGGACCUUGCACUAUUGGAUGAGCCUAUGUCAGAUUAGCUUGUUGGUGGGGUAAUGGCCUACCAAGGCGACGAUCUGUAGCUGGUCUGAGAGGACGAUCAGCCACACUGGGACUGAGACACGGCCCAG